UACGUAGGGUGCGAGCGUUGUCCGGAAUCACUGGGCGUAAAGGGCGCGUAGGCGGGGAGGUAAGUCGGGUGUGAAAUCCCUCGGCCCAACUGAGGAACUGCGCCCGAGACUGCUUCUCUUGAGUCCCGGAGAGGAAGAUGGAAUUCCCGGUGUAACGGUGAAAUGUGUAGAGAUCGGGAGGAACACCGGUGGCGAAGGCGGUCUUCUGGACGGUGACUGACGCUGAGGCGCGAAAGCGUGGGGAGCAAACGGG
rnacentral:rRNA from 1 species